rnacentral:rRNA from 1 species
AAACUGGGAUUAGAUACCCCACUAUGUCUAACUGUAAAAUAUUCACCCACACCAAAACCGCCCGGGAAUUACGAGCUAAAGCUUUAAACCCAAAGGACUUGACGGUAUCCCACCCACCUAGAGGAGCCUGUUCUAUAAUCGAUUUCCCCCGAUAGACCUCACCACUUCUAGCCCCCCGCCUGUAUACCUCCGUCGCAAGCUUACCAUGUGAACGAACUUAGUGAGCUCAAAGGCCACCCGCCCACACGUCAGGUCAAGGUGCAGCUAAUGAACUGGAAAGAAAUGGGCUACAAUCUCUAUCUUAGAACAAACGAAAGACUACAUGAAACACAGUCGCUGAAGGCGGAUUUAGUAGUAAAAAGAAAAUAGAGAGUUCUUUUUAAUUAGGCCCUGGGACGCGUACACACCGCCCGUCACCCUC